AGUUCCCAUUAUCUCUGAUCAUCCACGCGAGCAGUGCAGGUUCGCUGAGAAAAGUGGGAACGGCAGAUGCUGGACACUCCGAGAAAACAAGGUGUCCAGCUGGAUGAAUAUAACAGGCCAAGCAGUAUCAGAGGAGCAGGAAAGCCUACGUUUUGUGCCUGGCCCCUUCGCUGAGACUAAGGUUUGUGCAAUUGAGAUACCAGCGAUCGUUGCCAAAGCCCUGUUGCGUGUGGAAAAUGUGAUGUUCAACUUUCGCAUGCUGCUGCAGUUCAUAUGAUGAAGGUGCUCCCACAAUGCGGUCAUUAGAGAAGUUACAGAUCAUUCAUCUAGCGAUACUGAAGAGCUGAUGGUGUAUGUCCAAAUCAACAAACUGAUAUUACAAGUGGACUUGCAGGUGGGAAACUCAAUAAUUGUAACACCAAACUCUGACAGAAUUACUCAAUUCAUCAACAUCUGGAUAUUCGCAUUGUGUAUUUCCACAAUUUUACUUCUGCACUGUUCUUAACCUUUUGAUCCCUCUGAAAGACUGAGUUACAAUGCCUGCCCUUCCUCCCUGGCUCUCCCACCUCUCUCUUUCAGCAGUUUUGUGCAAAUACUGACUGGAUCCCUUACCUGGAGGAUAUUUAUUUGAAUUUGUUCUAACGAUGAUCCAGCAUAUUUCCCAAGCGUCGCUCCAUAAAUGUCCAGAGGAUUUCUCGAUUUCACAAUCUGUGGUUGUUCUUCUGGUUCUUCACUCACUGCACUUGCUUUCUGUUUGAAAGCUUAGUCUGCAAUUGGAGAAUUCAAACAGGUCCACAUCCAGGUCUGACAGUCACUUUGUUUAUCACAACCCAGUGACCUCAGGAUUUUGAACAUUGAAGGAAAAAGCAGCAUUCACACUGGGGAGAAAUGCACAUGGUCUGUAAAGAGUCUGUGAAGAUUCAUCUGAAAUGUCCGAACACCAGCGCAGUAACACUGGGGAGAGACUGUGGAAAUGUGCAGAUUGCAGGAACGAAUUUUUUAAUCCAUCCCAGCUAGAAACUGACCACCAGAGUCACACUGGAGAGAAACCAUUCACCUACUCUGAUUGUGUAAUGGGAUUCACUCAGUCCUCUAACCUGCUUAAACACCAGUGAGUUCGCACUGUCGAGAAACCAUUUACAUGCUUGAAAUGUGGGAAAGCGUUCACUCGGACAUAUCAACCGCUGAUGCACGAGCAAAUUCACACUGGAGGGAGACUGUUGGCCUGUUCUGCAUGAGGGAAAGGCUUUGCUGACUCAAAUUGCCCGCUGAUCCAACAGCUACUUCACUCUGGUGAGUGACCAUUCAUCUGCUCCCAGUGUGGGAAGGGAAUCACUUGCUCACCUAACAUACAGAGCGUUCACACUGGGGAGAAACCAUUCAUCUGCUCUAAAUGUGAGAAAGCAUUCACUUGGUCAUCCUACCUGCUUGUGUUCCAGCAGGUUCACACUGGGAGAACCCAUUCAUGAGCUCUGAGUGGGGAAAGCAUUCACUCAGUUAUCCAAACUGUUAACACACCAGUGAGUUCACAAAGAAGCACAGUUGAAUGAUUUUGCUGUCACUCUCACUAUCAAGUGAACCAUGGCUUUGGGCUGUUUGUACUGAUGUUACUGAUCCCUGCUCAAUUAAAGGGAGCGAUGGACUUGAACCUCGCAAACUCCUGAACACCUCUUAAGAAUUUCAUCAAACUGACCCCCAGUGGCAGGAAUGGACAGGGUCAGCUUGGAUUGAUGAUCAUAAUUCAGGCUCAACAAGUCUACUGGAACAUUUUGAGAAUGUAAUUAGUGGUGAGUGUGGCCACCUCUCUGUACUGUAGUGAUACAGAUUCCCAGAUCCUGAUUAUCCCCAAAUGGCUGACUGACAGUGUCAAAGUCCCUGGGCUGAUAUUGAAUGAUUCCUUGGCCAUUUUGUGUCAGGAUCUCCUGACUGAAUACUAUCUCCCUUGCCUUGACUGAGAACUGUUUCCCUGAGACUUUGCGAUGUGACCAUUUGGUCGAAACACAUGUGUUUGUUGCCACAGCUGCUGACCAGCCCUUGGCUGACUGCUGGUAAUAACAGUGCUAAGCUGCCUGGCUUAUGCCUGCAAUAAACAACCAGGCAAGACAGGAGCACUGAGACAUUAAGUUCUAGUUGAGACGUCAAAGUGCAAAAAUGCCAAGGAAGGGCAGAGAUAUUGCGGCAUAACUUGUGUCAGGUGCUGAAAAGCUUGUAGAGUUCUUAGAGCAAGAAUGUACUAUGUGGACAGGCAAUUCUGCAUCUUGAUGUAGCAUUUUUAUUUAACUCUGGCUCAUUUCGCUAGAUUUGCAAAUAUCUCUUGGUCUGGCUAAUGUGAGAAUUGGCUUUCGGAGUAAUGUGCCACCGACUGUCAUUCACAGUUGUAUCCCACAUCAGUGAAUUGGUAAUCUGAUUAAGCGCUCAGGCCUUGGCUUGAGAAAAAUAAAGCAGACACAUGCACACUUGUUUGAUUAGUUGCUCUGCACUCAAAUGAAAAACGUGCAUUGUAUAUGCCAUAUCCUUUCCUGGCUCAGUGUUUCCAAAAUCUCUAGUUCAAUACAUCCCAAGUUGUCAUCAUCAGAGUCAAAACUAGUGAAUACUUUGAUAGCUUCAUCUUUUUUUUUCUGAAAUGCUAUUUAUAUUGAGGCAGUGUUGGCAGGU